CGUGGAUUAGGCAUGCAAGUCGAGCGAGAACCCGCAAGGGGGACAGCGGCGAACGGGGUAGGACAACGUAGGUAACGUACCCUCGGGGCGAGGACAGCCACGGGAAACUGUGGGUAAUACUCGAUAAACUUCCCAAUCAUUAUGGAAGGGGAAGCAAUGGGUGUGAUUCCACCUGAGGAGCGGCUUACGCAGUAUCAGCUAGUUGGUGAGGUAACGGCUCACCAAGGCUACGACGCUUAGGGGGUGUGAGAGCAUGGCCCCCACCACUGGCACUGAGACACUGGCCAGACACCUACGGGUGGCUGCAGUCGAGAAUCUUCGGCAAUGGACGCAAGUCUGACCGAGCGACGCCGCGUGCGGGAUGAAGGCCUUCGGGUUGUAAACCGCUGUCAGAGGGGAUGAAGUAUACGGGAGUUAUCUCCUGUAUUUGACAGAGCCUCAGAGGAAGCACGGGCUAAGUUCGUGCCAGCAGCCGCGGUAAUACGAACUGUGCGAACGUUAUUCGGAAUCACUGGGCUUAAAGGGUGCGUAGGCGGUUAUCUAAGUCAGGUGUGAAAUCUCUCGGCUCAACCGAGAAACUGCGCUUGAAACUGGGUGACUGGAGGAAUGCAGGGGUGUGUGGAACUUCCGGUGGAGCGGUGAAAUGUGUAGAUAUCGGAAGGAACGCCAGCAGCGAAAGCGGCACACUGGGCAUUUACUGACGCUGAGGCACGAAAGCUAGGGGAGUGAACGGGAUUAGAUACCCCGGUAAUCCUAGCCGUAAACACUGAGCACUGGAGGAGGGAGGCUUCGGCCUUCUUUCUCGUAGCGAAAGCGUUAAGUGCUCCGCCUGGGGAGUAUGUCGCAAGGCUAACA
rnacentral:rRNA from 1 species